GAGACAUAAAAAACGGUUGAGCUCGAUUUUCAACCAAUCAGCGUCGAAAAUGAAAGUAGGUCUCGGCCAAAUCAAGCUAAUAUCUCUACGCACAUGUAAACACGGAGGACAGAUCUUCAUCUGAUAGCGGCGAUCAAGCUCGAUUAACACCCGUAAAGUGUAUUUUUCAUGUCGGAAAACAUGGUGGGAAAGGUCCGUAGCCCUUUACUGAAGUUCGAUGGGAACAAAUCAAGCAAUGUGCGAAGGAAUGGCUCAAAACGUCGGACACUACGGAGCUAGCUACGUUAUUGAUUACAUGCUGCAAAAUCUGGAUAAAAACAUCGACGCGAUGUGAGACGUUGUCCUCCGUUGCUUGACCUGUUAAGAGGAUGACCUCAUCCAACAGUACAAUUGUGACAAUGGAGAUAUCCUGCAGCACAUAAUGAAAAUUGCCAUCUGCAAGAGGGAUUCUCAGGAGUAUUUCUGCAUCAUCUUGGAGGGGUGGAUGCAAGUCAUGGCUGGCUUGGAAAAUCUGACAAGAGCCUGUGCUGUUCUUCUUGGACUCACGUAUGCACUAAACCACAACUACCAGAACUGAGGCACACUUUUGAGGCCUUUCAGAAGCUCUUCUUGGAACUGAGUGUUUGCAAGUUUUCCCCGAAAUCACUAACACUUAAAAAAAAACUCAUGAUGACUUUGAUUGAGACAAUGCAUUAUGACCAAGGCAAGUUCUGAAUUAAAACAGCAUUGAUUGAUGAACGUUUAAUAUUGUUCUACAUACAGGCUUUCAGCAAGUACAAAUUAUUUUAUAUGUUUUACUACAAGUUAUUCACAAGUUAGUCUAGAAUGUGACUUUUUCCAACAGAAAUUUGUAGGCACAUGUUUUUGUGAAACAAAAUGAUCUUUCUCAAUGACAUGAAAAAUGUUAGCAUUUUUUUUUUGCUUUUAUUUUUCAUAUUUUAAAACUCUUACAUUUUAUAUAGAUUUGUUUUAUUUGUGCAAAAAAUACAGAAUAAAAGCAUGUUUGAUAACAAAAGGUGUAUUAUGUAUUCAUUAUUAUAACAUUUACUGUCUGAAAAAAAGGCAGUAAAUGUUAUAAUUAAAUAAAUGUCAUUAAUACAAAUGAGUAAAUUCUGCUUGAUUUAUUUGUGAGGCGACUUAAAUAAAAAAAAAGCACAUUACACUAAUAAUAUUAAAUUCAUUAUGUGCCAUAGACUAAAUAAUUUAGGACAUUUUACUUAAUUUAUUCGGGUAGAUCUCACACACACACAAAAAAAACACCUGAAAAUCUACUCAAAUAUAAUAUGUGUAAUAUUGUUACCAUACUUUUUUUUUUUUAAAGUAGAUACCAUGUAAUAUUUUUUACAGUGUACAUGCAGUGCAGUUACUGUUUGUGUAUGCGAACUGACAAUUCACCAUUAAAUGUGUUAUUUUGAAAAGUGUUUUACUUUUUUUAUAUAUUAUAUUUUGGCUGAAUUUUAUUUGUUAUUCAGAUUUUCCUCAAACAUUACCUUUGAAUUGGAACAACAUAAUGAGAAGUAAUUGGGAUGUUAAUGAUAGAAGUUUUCUUGAUAAUCUUAU